UACGUAGGGUGCAAGCGUUAAUCGGAAUUACUGGGCGUAAGCGUGCGCAGGCGGUUCGCUAAGACAGAUGUGAAAUCCCCGGGCUUAACCUGGGAACUGCAUUUGUGACUGGCGGGCUAGAGUAUGGCAGAGGGGGGUAGGAAUUCCACGUGUAGCAGUGAAAUGCGUAGAGAUGUGGAGGAAUACCGAUGGCGAAGGCAGCCCCCUGGGCCAAUACUGACGCUCAUGCACGAAAGCGUGGGAGCGAACAGG
rnacentral:rRNA from 1 species